rnacentral:rRNA from 1 species
AGCAGCCGCGGUAAUUCCAGCUCCAAUAGCGUAUAUUAAAGUUGUUGCAGUUAAAAAGCUCGUAGUUGAAUUUCGGAGCCGAUGGAUCGGUCACGCCAUUCGGUGUGUACUGGUUUAAUUGGUUCUCACCUUCUAAGGAACCGUGAUGUCAUUAAUUUGGUGUCGCGGGGAAUUAGGACUGUUACCUUGAAAAAAUUGAGUGUUUAAAGCAAGCUCACGCUUGAAUACAUUAGCAUGGAAUAAUGAAAUAGGACAUUGUAUUCUAUUUUGUUGGUUUCUAGGAUCGAUGAAUGAUUAAUAGGGAUAGUUGGGGGCAUUAGUAUUCAAUUGUCAGA